GUUUUUCCUAGCCACCGUGCUUCUACACCUGCAUUGCUUGCUGUUUGGGGUUUUAGGCUGGGUUUCUGUACAGCACUUUGAGAUAUCAGCUGAUGUACGAAGGGCUAUAUAAAUAAAUUUGAUUUGAUUUGAGUCUCAGGGGUUGUAGAAUUUCAGACCAUACAUAUAUUUUGGCACGGUGGUUUCAACAUCACUGUCAAAAUCUGAAGUUCGGUAUCAAUAUUUUUUUUUUCUUUUUGGACAUUUUUGCAAGAAGGGCCUCGUUAGCGCAGUAGGUAGCGCGUCAGUCUCAUAAUCUGAAGGUCGUGAGUUCGAUCCUCACACAGGGCAUCAAAGUUUUUCAAAAGACAGUGUUGGCUGAAGAUGAAGUGAAAAUGAAUUCUCUGUCGUUCUGGACUUUCACACAAUACAUACUUUUGUCAAGGUGGAUACCACAUCUUAAGGUCCAUAUCGAUAUGUAUUACUUUAGAAUGAAAUCAAUCUUUUUGUCUCAGGGGUUGUAGAAUUUCAGACCAUACAUAUAUUUUGGCACGGUGGUUUCAACAUCACUGUCAAAAUCUGAAAGUUCGGGAUCAAUAUUUUUUUUUCUAUUUGGACAUUUUUGAAAGGGCCUCGUUAGCGCAGUAGGUAGUGCGUCAGUCUCAUAAUCUGAAGGUCGUGAGUUUGAUCCUCAAACGGGGCAGCAAAGCUUUUAAAAAUACAGUGUUGGCUGAAGAUGAAGUGAAAAUGAAUUCACUCUCAUUUUGGACUUUCACACAAUACAUACUUUUGUCAAGGUGGAUACCACAUCUUAAGGUCCAUAUCGAUAUGUAUUACUUUAG
ensembl:lncRNA